rnacentral:lncRNA from 1 species
CAGAAGUUCCAUUCUAGCCAUCAACAAACAUAGAACACAUUAGGAGAUAUAGGAAGUAUUUGGGAACCUCUGAAAGUUACGUGAUUAGGGACAACUUGACCAAAGUUGGGCUUUAUUAAUAUUUUCCUCACUAUUGCACACAAUGUGGAUUCAAAGAAGGAAUUGAAAAAAGAGUACGUAUUUACUGUGGGAAAAAUUGCAUUUGAUGGCUCAAUUUGUAUUUGGAUUGAAGGAUAG